UACAGAGGGUGCGAGCGUUAAUCGGAAUUACUGGGCGUAAAGCGUGCGUAGACGGUUUCGUAAGUCGGGUGUGAAAGCCCCCGGGCUCAACCUGGGAAUUGCAUUCGAGACUGCGUAGCUAGGGUGCGGAAGAGGGAAGCGGAAUUUCCGGUGUAGCGGUGAAAUGCGUAGAUAUCGGGAGGAACACCAGUGGCGAAGGCGGCUAUCUGGGCUGAAACUGACGCUGAGGCGCGAAGGCUAGGGGAGCAAACAGG
rnacentral:rRNA from 1 species